rnacentral:rRNA from 1 species
AUUGACCGCUGGCGGCAGGCCUAACACAUGCAAGUCGAACGAGUGGCGGACGGGUGAGUAAUGUCUGGGAAACUGCCUGAUGGCGGGGGCUAACUACUGGAAACGGUAGCUAAUACCGCAUACCAUCAGAUGUGCCCCGAUGGGAUUAGCUUGUGGGUGGGGUAACGGCUCACCAAGGCGACGAUCCCUAGCUGGUCUGAGAGGAUGACCAGCCACACUGGAACUGAGACACGGUCCAGACUCCUACGUGAGGCAGCAGGGGGGAAUAUUGAACAAUGGGCGAAAGCCUGAUGCAGCCACGCCGCGUGUAUGAAGAAGGCCUUCGGGUUGUAAAGUACUUUCAGCGGGGAGGCGUUACCCGCAGAAGAAGCACCGGCUAACUCCGUGCCAGCAGCCGCGGUAAUAC